CAGCCGCCGCGGUAAUACGGAGGGUGCAAGCGUUAAUCGGAAUUACUGGGCGUAAAGCGCACGCAGGCGGUUUGUUAAGUCAGAUGUGAAAUCCCCGGGCUCAACCUGGGAACUGCAUCUGAUACUGGCAAGCUUGAGUCUCGUAGAGGGGGGUAGAAUUCCAGGUGUAGCGGUGAAAUGCGUAGAGAUCUGGAGGAAUACCGGUGGCGAAGGCGGCCCCCUGGACGAAGACUGACGCUCAGGUGCGAAAGCGUGGGGAGCAAACAGGAUUAGAUACCCGUGUAGUCCCUGUCUCUUAUAC
rnacentral:rRNA from 1 species